rnacentral:rRNA from 1 species
AACGAACGCUGGCGGCAUGCCUAACACAUGCAAGUCGAACGAAGGCUUCGGCCUUAGUGGCGCACGGGUGCGUAACGCGUGGGAAUCUGCCCUUAGGUUCGGAAUAACAGUUAGAAAUGACUGCUAAUACCGGACGAUGACGUAAGUCCAAAGAUUUAUCGCCUGAGGAUGAGCCCGCGUAGGAUUAGCUAGUUGGUGUGGUAAAGGCGCACCAAGGCGACGAUCCUUAGCUGGUCUGAGAGGAUGAUCAGCCACACUGGGACUGAGACACGGCCCAGACUCCUACGGGAGGCAGCAGUGGGGAAUAUUGGACAAUGGGCGCAAGCCUGAUCCAGCAAUGCCGCGUGAGUGAUGAAGGCCUUAGGGUUGUAAAGCUCUUUUACCCGUGAUGAUAAUGACAGUAGCGGGAGAAUAAGCCCCGGCUAACUCCGUG